GUCUUGCUAUUGCUUAAUGUUCCUUUACCGUUUGGGUAAGGUUAAUAAGUUGUCAAGUGGUAGGAUUGAGAACUGGCAUUUAUGCUCUGCUUGAGACUGACAGGCUCUGAAAUGCUGUCCCCAAAGUGGAUAAUUUGACUCUUAUUGAAGAGUUGUGGUCUUCUUGUGUUCUCAGGUACAGAGUCUGAGUCUGCAGUCCAUUCUUUCAACUGACAAACUUUCCUUGGCUAAAAUGAUUGCUUUGAUAGUGCCUGUCAGUUACUUGGCAGCUUGUGAGCCAAAUUUGGGAUUUCUGGCUGUGCCUUCUGGGGACUACUUGCAAACGUUUUGGGUCUGUAUUAUGAGAAAUUUCUGCUUAAUUAUGUUUGGGGUUGGGACUGCUGAGUCUAGCUAUGCCAUUUUGUACUUUAGCACCAUGUGUAACCAAGUUGAAACCUAAUUCCUUUGGGGAAAAACAUUUUUAUUUUUAUUUAAAAGCAAAAGAUAUGAGUGGAGAAAGCGAAU
rnacentral:misc_RNA from 1 species